CGACCAGGGCUACACACGUGCUACAAUGGUAGGUACAGAGGGCAGCUACACAGCGAUGUGAUGCGAAUCUCAAAAAGCCUAUCGUAGUCCAGAUUGGAGUCUGCAACUCGACUCCAUGAAGUAGGAAUCGCUAGUAAUCGCGGAUCAGAAUGCCGCGGUGAAUACGUUCCCGGGCCUUGUACACACCGCCCGUCACACCAUGGGAGUUGAUUGCACCAGAAGUGGGUAGCCUAACCUUUUAGGAUGGCGCUCAC
rnacentral:rRNA from 1 species